UGAGCUCAUACGAGCAACAUAUCAUAAAUGGGAACCACCAGAAGGGGUCAAGAAAAGGAUACGGAGGAAGACUACUUACUUCAACCCAUACGACCACCGGGAGGCAGGAGAAGACCCCCUAGCAACAGCCGGAUCAUGCACAGACGAACGGUAUAAAAGAGCAGAAGCAAGGGGGUGUUACAGCAUCAACAAAAGAAUAGCUGAAGACCCCAGUAACAACAAAUGAGACAUGCGCAGAGUACCCUGGAAAUACCACGGCAGUCAUUUGGAACCACAUAAAAGAACGGCCCCAAUCUUCGGGUGGCGCGGCAGUUGGCAGGACAGAGAUCCCCCUGUCGCCCAGCGCUGCAUUGCCUCUUUGUUCUUUGCUCAUUAUAAUUAAUAAAUUCAACAAUUGACUCCUUAAA